CCUGGAAACAGAUGCUAAUACCGGAUAACAACAGAUGAUGCCUAUCAACUGUUUAAAAGAUGGUUCUGCUAUCACUCUUGGAUGGACCUGCGGUGCAUUAGCUAGUUGGUAGGGUAACGGCCUACCAAGGCGAUGAUGCAUAGCCGAGUUGAGAGACUGAUCGGCCACAUUGGGACUGAGACACGGCCCAAACUCCUACGGGAGGCAGCAGCG
rnacentral:rRNA from 1 species